UACGUAGGGGGCAAGCGUUGUCCGGAUUUAUUGGGCGUAAAGAGCUUGUAGGCGGUCUGUCGCGUCUGCUGUGAAAACUCGGGGCUUAACCUCGGGCCUGCAGUGGGUACGGGCAGACUAGAGUGCGGUAGGGGAGACUGGAAUUCCUGGUGUAGCGGUGAAAUGCGCAGAUAUCAGGAGGAACACCGGUGGCGAAGGCGGGUCUCUGGGCCGUAACUGACGCUGAGGAGCGAAAGCAUGGGGAGCAAACGGG
rnacentral:rRNA from 1 species